UACGAAGGGGACUAGCGUUGUUCGGAAUCACUGGGCGUAAAGCGCACGUAGGCGGCUUUUUAAGUCAGGGGUGAAAUCCUGGAGCUCAACUCCAGAACUGCCUUUGAUACUGAGAAGCUUGAGUCCGGGAGAGGUGAGUGGAACUGCGAGUGUAGAGGUGAAAUUCGUAGAUAUUCGCAAGAACACCAGUGGCGAAGGCGGCUCACUGGCCCGGUACUGACGCUGAGGUGCGAAAGCGUGGGGAGCAAACAGG
rnacentral:rRNA from 1 species